rnacentral:rRNA from 1 species
GACGAACGCUGGCGGCGUGCUUAACACAUGCAAGUCGAACGAUGAACCCGGAGCUUGCUCCGGUGGAUUAGUGGCGAACGGGUGAGUAACACGUGAGUAACCUGCCCUUGACUCUGGGAUAACUGCGGGAAACUGUAGCUAAUACCGGAUACGACCCUCGGCGGCAUCGCCAGGGGGUGGAAAGAAUUUCGGUCAAGGAUGGACUCGCGACCUAUCAGCUAGUUGGUGAGGUAACGGCUCACCAAGGCGACGACGGGUGGCCGGCCUGAGAGGGUGGCCGGCUACACGGGGACUGAGACACGGCCCAGAGCCCUACGGGAGGCAGCAGUGGGGAAUAUUGAACAAUGGGCGCAAGCCUGAUGCGGCAACGCCGCGUGGGGGAUGACGGCCUUCGGGUUGUAAACCUCUUUUAGUAGGGAAGAAGCGAAAGUGACGGUACCUGCAGAAAAAGCACCGGCUAACUACGUGCCAGCCGCCGCCGUAA